AGCAAUUUUACGGUCCUUGAGGAGGUACCAUGAGGUACCAUUUUUUCUAUUGUAAAUUUGGUAUCUCUUGGUACCUAGGUACUAUGAGGUACCAUGAGGUACCAAAUUUUACACUAAAAAUUUAGUACCUCAUGGUAUCUCCUCAAGGAU
rnacentral:misc_RNA from 1 species